rnacentral:tRNA from 1 species
GGGCCAAUGGUCCAGUGGUAAGAUGCCUCCUUCGGGUUAAUUCUCGAACGUCUCAGACGUGAAAUUGGAGGAGAUCCCGGGUUCAAUUCCCGGUUGGCCCC